GACUGCCAGUGAUAAACUGGAGGAAGGUGGGGAUGACGUCAAGUCAUCAUGGCCCUUACGACCAGGGCUACACACGUGCUACAAUGGCGCAUACAAAGAGAAGCGACCUCGCGAGAGCAAGCGGACCUCAUAAAGUGCGUCGUAGUCCGGAUUGGAGUCUGCAACUCGACUCCAUGAAGUCGGAAUCGCUAGUAAUCGUGGAUCAGAAUGCCACGGUGAAUACGUUCCCGGGCCUUGUACACACCGCCCGUCACACCAUGGGAGUGGGUUGCAAAAGAAGUAGGUAGCUUAACCUUCGGGAGGGCGCUUACCACUUUGUGAUUCAUGACUGGGGUGAAGUCGUAACAAGGUAACCGUAGGGGAACCUGCGGUUGGAUCACCUCCUU
rnacentral:rRNA from 1 species